UGCCAGCCGCCGCGGUAAUACGGAGGGUGCGAGCGUUAAUCGGAAUUACUGGGCGUAAAGCGCGCGUAGGUGGUUUGUUAAGUCUGAUGUGAAAUCCCAGGGCUCAACCUUGGAAUGGCACCGGAUACUGGCAGGCUAGAGUACGGUAGAGGGGUGUGGAAUUUCCUGUGUAGCGGUGAAAUGCGUAGAUAUAGGAAGGAACGUCAGUGGCGAAGACGACACCCUGGACUGAUACUGACACUGAGGUGCGAAAGCGUGGGGAGCAAACAGGAUUAGAUA
rnacentral:rRNA from 1 species